GGCGCGAAAACUUUACAAUGCUGGCAACAGCGAUAAGGGAACCUCGAGUGCCAGGUUACAAAUCUGGCUGCCGAGAUGCCUAAAAAGCAUUUCAUAGCAAGGGCGGGGCAAGACCGGUGCCAGCCGCCGCGGUAACACCGGCGGCUCGAGUGGUAACCGUUAUUAUUGGGUCUAAAGGGUCUGUAGCCGGCCGGAUAAGUCUCUUGAGAAAUCUGGCAGCUUAACUGUCAGGCUUUCAGGAGAUACUGUCUGGCUCGAGGCCGGGAGAGGUGAGAGGUACUUCAGGGGUAGGGGUGAAAUCUUGUAAUCCUUGAAGGACAACCAGUGGCGAAGGCGUCUCACCAGAACGGACCUGACGGCAAGGGACGAAAGCUAGGGGCACGAACCA
rnacentral:rRNA from 1 species